rnacentral:lncRNA from 1 species
AGCAGCUGCUGUGUAUUCUGAGUUACUAGGCUGUACAUUGCUAUACACCAUGUAUGUGCCAUACAGAACAUGGCUAUGUAAAAGUUCACCUAUUUCUUCCUUAGGUCCUGUUACAUGUAGACCCUUUAGGGUCACUGGCUUCAGCUCCAUCACAAUAUCCUUACAUGUGUUGGUGGUGCCUUGACCACUGAACCAUGCUGGAGAAACUGGUGUACACUGAAUUAGAGGGUCAGAGAAGCAUUGAAGGAGCUUGGAAAAGGAGUUUGAAGGAGUAUGGAAAAUCAGAGAACUUCUACAUCAGUUUUGUCUUCAUUUUGGGACCAAGUAUUCAAAACCAGACAUCAAAUGAGUGGACAUCACAAACAAAUCCAUCAUAAAAACCAAACCCACAAAUGAAAGAGAGGGACAGAAGAAAGAAGCCUGAAGAUAAAUCUGUGUGCUCCAACACAAAAGCAACUAGAAAGAAGGAUUCAGGUUAAUUUAAAUGCAAUACCUACAAUAGCCCCCCUGAAGUGCAAACUCCCGAAACCAGCAAUUAGCCGUAGUACCUGCCCGUGGCUGUCUCUUAAUUCUUUCUGCAGAAGGCUCUGACCCCGCGGCAGAACAGGAUCUGUCUGCAGUUGUGGCGAGCUCAAUUGCACACAGCUCCAGCCAGCUGUGUGUCCUGCGGCACGGAAUGAGCAGCUGAUGGCAGAAUGGCCUCGAGACAACAUUGCCAUGCUGACUGCGACUCCAGGCACCCGGGCUGUGCUACCACACAGAGCUCCAGUGUGCCAAACAUUCAGAAGAAGAGCUUGGACCUUCACAUACACUGACCUCACGCUGGUGAGGUAUUUGGCUGUAGUUUUUGCUGCUCUUCUUUCCCUGGCAAACAACUUCUCUGAAAACAUAUUAGGAAAUAUUACCUGGGUUCAGGAACCUCAUUAACCACUUCCCAGCCCAUCUUUACCUUCAAAUUACUCCUCGUGGAACAUUAGGUUCUUCAUGCUUAAACUUCCACCUGAGCAUCCCAGCAAAUAAAGAAGCUGUUGGCAUGGUCA